rnacentral:rRNA from 1 species
UACGUAGGUGACAAGCGUUGUCCGGAUUUACUGGGCGUAAAGAGCGCGCAGGCGGUCGUUCAAGUCGAGUGUGAAAGCCCACGGCUCAACCGUGGAGGGUCAUUGGAAACUGGGGAACUUGAGUGCAGGAGAGAAGAGUGGAAUUCCACGUGUAGCGGUGAAAUGCGUAGAGAUGUGGAGGAACACCCGUGGCGAAGGCGGCUCUCUGGGACGGUACUGACGCUGAGACGCGAAAGCGUGGGGAGCGAACAGG